CGUGGUUAACCUGCCCUUGGGACGGAAACACCCCCGGGAAACUGGGGCUAAUUUCCGAUAGGUGAAGACUCCUGGAAUGGAUCUUCGCCUAAAGGGCGCUUAGGCCAUGCUUCUAGGCGCUGCCCAAGGAUGGGACCGCGGCCGAUCAGGUUGUUGGUGAGGUAAUGGCUCACCAAGCCUUUAACCGGUUCGGGCCGUGGGAGCGGGAGCCCGGAGAUGGGCACUGAGACAAGGGCCCAGGUCCUACGGGGCGCAGCAGUCGCGAAAACUCCGCAAUACGCGAAGGCGUGACGGGGCUAUCCCGAGUGCCGUCCGCUGAGGAUGGCUUUUCCCCAGUGUAGAUAGCUGGGGGAAUAAGGAGAGGGCAAGUCUGGUGUCAGCCGCCGCGGUAAUACCAGCUCUCCGAGUGGUGGGGACGUUUAUUGGGCCUAAAGCAUCCGUAGCCAGCUGAGCAAGUCCCCAGUUAAAUCCAGCGAUUUAAUCGUUGGACUGCUGGGGAUACUGUCCGGCUAGGGGGUGGGAGAGGCCGACGGUAUUCCCGGGGUAGGGGUGAAAUCCUAUAAUCCCGGGAGGACCACCAGUGGCGAAGGCUGUUGGCUAAAACAUGCCCGACGGUGAGGGAUGAAAGCUGGGGGGAGCGAACCGGAUUAGAUACCCGGGUAGUCCCAGCUGU
rnacentral:rRNA from 1 species